UACAGAGGGUGCGAGCGUUAAUCGGAAUUACUGGGCGUAAAGCGUGCGCAGGCGGUCUGUUAAGACAGAUGUGAAAUCCCCGGGCUUAACCUGGGAACUGCAUUUGUGACUGGCAGGCUAGAGUAUGGCAGAGGGGGGUAGAAUUCCACGUGUAGCAGUGAAAUGCGUAGAGAUGUGGAGGAAUACCGAUGGCGAAGGCAGCCCCCUGGGCCAAUACUGACGCUCAUGCACGAAAGGCGUGGGGAGCAAACAGG
rnacentral:rRNA from 1 species